GGGACACAGAGGGGGCUCCGAGACCGGGAUUGAUUCGGGAAAAACAUCUGAGGGACUAAGACACUGUAAUACUUCCUCAGUUCAAAGCAAAGAGUGACCAGCUGCCUCUAACAAAUGGAAGGGUUGUGAUUCAAAUUCAAAGAAGACAUAAGAUCUGACGAGUUGGAAUUGACAGAGGGGCAGUCGUGGUGUGUAGGAACACCAAGUAAAUUAAAGCUUCAUCAAUAUUA